GACAGAGGGUGCAAACGUUGUUCGGAAUUACUGGGCGUAAAGCGCGCGCAGGCGGUUCUUUAAGUCUGGUGUCUAAGUGCGGGGCUCAACCCGUGAUGCACUGGAAACUGGGGAACUUGAGUGCAGAAGAGGAGAGCGGAAUUCCACGUGUAGCGGUGAAUGCGUAGAGAUGUGGAGGAACACCAGUGGCGAAGGCGGCUCUCUGGACUGUAACUGACGCUGAGGCGCGAAAGCGUGGGGAGCAAACGG
rnacentral:rRNA from 1 species